UGCCAAGCAACUCCUAUCCCUACCUCCUCGUGGUACUGGCCGGGGUACGAGUAACCUUGGGGAAGAUCGGGUAACCAACCCCCGGUGGGAACUUUGGUCGUAUGCUGACAGGGAAGG
rnacentral:ribozyme from 1 species